rnacentral:lncRNA from 1 species
AUUUGAUCCUUGAAUACGCUCUUUUUCAGUAAAAUAUCUGCUAAGGAUCCUAUAACGUGUAAAGCUCCAUCUUUCUUCCUUGGAUCAAUGUUUGGUUCUGUCAAAAUCUGGUAGCAAUAUGCCAUCAUUUUUGGCAAUACCUCUUUUCUCUUCUUUGCUGCUGUAUAAAGGAGAUUCUGUGCUGCUGUUGUUGUGGAUGCAUAAUCCUCAAAUACAUCAAAUUUCAUGCGGAUAUAUUCAUAUGGAUCUUCUUGCCACAGCUCUUCGUCCUCAUCUUUGUAGCACAUUAGGGAGAAUAUCACUUCUUCUGUUAUACUCUGUAUGUGCGGCUUCAUUUGCUUCCACGUUACAGAGUGAAUGACACCUUGGUUCAGGUAAUUCAACGUUUGCUGAAGAACACGCGGUGCAACAUAGUCCUUUUGUCUGUAUUGGUCUAAGAUUCUUAAUAGAACUUGUUGUAUGCCCACAGCAUACGUUUUUAAAAAAAACUCUGAGAAUUCAAAGUAUUCUUUAGUUACAUUUCCCGGGCUUCCAUACCGUUCAAAAAGACGAGCUACAAUAUGUAAUGCCCAUUUCUUGCAUUUCCACCACACCAGCUCUGGUCUAUCAUCUUCAUCAAUUUGCAAAGUCUCCGGAGGUACAUUUCUGUCAAUGAUGGUACGGAAGAUCUCCAUCCACUGAGUCAUAGUCUGGUUAUUCA